GAUGAAGAACGCAGCGAAAUGCGAUAAGUAAUGUGAAUUGCAGAAUUCAGUGAAUCAUCGAAUCUUUGUACGCACAUUGCGCCCGCCAGUAUUCUGGCGGGCAUGCCUGUUCGAGCGUCAUUUCAACCAUCAAGCCCCAGGCUUGUGUUGGAGCCCUGCGGCUGCCGCAGCCUCCCAAAACCAGUGGCGGGCUCGCUAUCACACCGAGUGCAGUAGUUUACUCUUCGCUCAGGGCGUGUGGCGGGUGCUAGCCGUAAAACCCCCAACUUCUCAAGGUUGACCUCGGAUCAGGUAGGAAUACCCGCUGAACUUAAGCAUAUCAAUAAGCGGAGGA
rnacentral:misc_RNA from 1 species